CUGACACAGGUGCUGCAUGGCGUGUCGUCAGCUCGUGUCGUGAGAUGUUGGGUUAGUCCGUAACGAGCGCAACCCUUCGUCCUUAGUUACCAGCACGUUAUGGUGGGCACUCUAAGGAGACUGCCGGUGACAAACCGGAGGAAGGUGGGGAUGACGUCAAGUCAUCAUGGCCCUUACGGCCUGGGCUACACACGUGCUACAAUGGUCGGUACAAAGGGUUGCCAAGCCGCGAGGUGGAGCUAAUCCCAUAAAACCGAUCGUAGUCCGGAUCGCAGUCUGCAACUCGACUGCGUGAAGUCGGAAUCGCUAGUAAUCGUGAAUCAGAAUGUCACGGUGAAUACGUUCCCGGGCCUU
rnacentral:rRNA from 1 species